CGAGUAAUAAAUCAAAUGGUAAACAUAAUCGUCACAAGUAGGUAUUUGAAAAGAUUCACAUGGUUCACAGAGUUGCAUAAUCAUACCAUGCAUUAAUCGACGGUCUAUAGAUUCACUCACACAUGCAUUAUCAAAAGCAAGAAUCUUUUAUCAACCAUCAAAACAGAUAGAUCAUCAAUAAAUAAAAUAGGACAGUCAAGCACGUUUCGAUCUAAGUGUUCAUCAACACGAUCUUUAUCACUAUCCGAGAGAGUACAAAAGUGUUUCAAAGGUUUCAAGCAUCUUACCUCGAUAAGCAGAAGAAUAAGGGUCGAUUUUACCUUUUUCAUUUAAAACAAACCUUCGCUCAUCGGGG
rnacentral:lncRNA from 1 species